UACGGAGGAUCCAAGCGUUAUCCGGAUUCAUUGGGUUUAAAGGGUGCGUAGGCGGACUGAUAAGUCAGCGGUGAAAUCCCACGGCUCAACUGUGGAACUGCCGUUGAUACUGUUAGUCUUGAAUGCAGAUGAUGUGGGCGGAAUAUGACAUGUAGUGGUGAAAUACUUAGAUAUGUCAUAGAACACCGAUUGCGAAGGCAGCUCACAAAACUGUGAUUGACGCUGAGGCACGAAAGCGUGGGGAGCAAACAGG
rnacentral:rRNA from 1 species